rfam:Hordeum vulgare subsp. vulgare, WGS project CAJW01000000 data, contig: morex_contig_56818
AACAUACUCCCUCCGGCCAGAAAUACUUGUCGGAGUAAUGGUUAAAAAUGAAUGUACCUAGAUGUAUUUUAGCUCUAGAUACAUUCACUUUUAUCCAUUCCUCCGACAAGUAUUUUCGGACAGAGGGAGUAGUAA